rnacentral:rRNA from 1 species
CCUACGGGUGGCAGCAGUGAGGAAUAUUGGUCAAUGGGCGCGAGCCUGAACCAGCCAAGUAGCGUGAAGGAUGACUGCCCUACGGGUUGUAAACUUCUUUUAUAAAGGAAUAAAGUGGGGCACGCGUGCCUUUUUGUAUGUACCUUAUGAAUAAGGAUCGGCUAACUCCGUGCCAGCAGCCGCGGUAAUACGGAGGAUCCGAGCGUUAUCCGGAUUUAUUGGGGUUAAAGGGAGCGUAGAUGGGUUGUAAAGUCAGGUGUGAAAGGUUGCGGCUCAACCGUCAAAUUGCAAUUGAUACUGGCAGCCUUGAGUGCAGGUGAGGUAGGCGGAAUUCGUGGUGUAGCGGUGAAAUGCUUAGAUAUCACGAAGAACUCCGAUUGCGAAGGCAGCCUACUAGACUGCAACUGACAUUGAGGCUCGAAAGUGUGGGUAUCAAACAGGAUUAGAUACCCUAGUAGUC